AUGCAAACCACAAAAGGAUGCACUUGUUCGCUUGGUGGGAAAUGUGUAUCCCCAAGAAAAGGAAGAACGGGAUUUGGGGACAUUCAUUGCUUUAGUCUCACACUUCUUGCUAAACAGGCAUGGCGAUUGAUAGAUAAUCCUGAUUCUUUAUGUAUGACAAUUUUGAAAGUGAAAUAUUUUCCGGAUGAUGACUUAAUUAAUGCCACUUUGAAAAAGAAAUCCUGCUACACCUGGCAAAGUGCGAUGGCGAGAGUUAACACGAUCAAGUGUGCUCAUAUUUGGAGGGUUGGUAAUGGAGAAAAAACAAAUAUAUGGGAAGAUUCCUGCAUACCACAAUCCCCUACAAAAAUGGUACUUACUAGUAGAUGUAAUCAUCUCAUCUCACAGGUGUGUGAUCUGAUUGACCCAUCCACUGGAGAGUGGGACGUUCAACUCUGUGUUGAUGCCCAAAUAAUCAUAUCAUUACCCCUUAUGAUGCAUGAAACUAGAAAUUUUGUUUCUUAG
rnacentral:rRNA from 1 species